rnacentral:pre_miRNA from 1 species
UUGGGCCCGCUAAUGUACUUUUACUGGGUAAACAUAUUAAAAGGUUUCUCACUUUACCCAGUAAAAGUACAUUAGUGGGCCCAA